UGAUUAAUCUACUGUUUGGUGUUGCAUUCCUUCGGAUCUCCGGAAGCCAUCAACGAUCUACUACCUUACUUGAUCUCCUGUUUGGUAUUGCAUUCCUUCAGACAUCCAUAAAUGGCAUCAACUGUUUAUAUCGACAUCAACUUUCGCCGUUUAC